GAUGAACGCUGGCGGCGUGCCUAAUACAUGCAAGUCGAGCGAACAGACGAGGAGCUUGCUCCUCUGACGUUAGCGGCGGACGGGUGAGUAACACGUGGAUAACCUACCUAUAAGACUGGGAUAACUUCGGGAAACCGGAGCUAAUACCGGAUAAUAUAUUGAACCGCAUGGUUCAAUAGUGAAAGACGGUUUUGCUGUCACUUAUAGAUGGAUCCGCGCCGCAUUAGCUAGUUGGUAAGGUAACGGCUUACCAAGGCGACGAUGCGUAGCCGACCUGAGAGGGUGAUCGGCCACACUGGAACUGAGACACGGUCCAGACUCCUACGGGAGGCAGCAGUAGGGAAUCUUCCGCAAUGGGCGAAAGCCUGACGGAGCAACGCCGCGUGAGUGAUGAAGGUCUUCGGAUCGUAAAACUCUGUUAUUAGGGAAGAACAAAUAUGUAAGUAACUAUGCAUGUCUUGACGGUACCUAAUCAGAAAGCCACGGCUAACUACGUG
rnacentral:rRNA from 1 species